AUGCGGUCAUCCCUUGUGGGUGACGGUGCGCGCAGUAACAGCCCGCCAAUUUCGCCUAUUGACGAUCUGGCGGAGUUGUAGCGUACACGUUGGUACCCGAAAGAUGGUGAACUAUGCUUGGGCAAGACGAAGCCAGAGGAAACUCUGGUGGAGGUCUGUAGCGAUUCUGACGUGCAAAUCGAUCGUCAGACCUGAGUAUAGGGGCGAAAGACUAAUCGAACCAUCUAGUAGCUGGUUCCUUCCGAA
rnacentral:rRNA from 1 species